UACAGAGGGGGCAAGCGUUGUUCGGAAUCACUGGGCGUAAAGCGCACGUAGGCGGACUUCUAAGUCAGGGGUGAAAUCCCAAGGCUCAACCUUGGAACUGCCCUUGAUACUGGAAGUCUCGAGUCCGAGAGAGGUGAGUGGAAUUCCGAGUGUAGAGGUGAAUUCGUAGAUAUUCGGAGGAACACCAGUGGCGAAGGCGGCUCACUGGCUCGGUACUGACGCUGAGGUGCGAAAGCGUGGGGAGCAAACAGG
rnacentral:rRNA from 1 species